rnacentral:rRNA from 1 species
GACAAUUUGACCUCAAAUCAGG